GUUCACCGCCGAACAGGCGGUUUAAAAA
rnacentral:other from 1 species